CCCCACCACAACCCCACUGUUUUAAGCCUACAAUCAGCAGGGAACCCCAAACAAACCAACCAUGGCCUGUUCCACCGUCUCUCAAAUGGCCAGAUUAAAACGGUCGAGCCCGACCUCAGUCAACUGAAUCCCAUCCGGCCGAAACAAAUCUGCCGCCUCCUUCUCAAAAAACCCUGUGAAGAAUGGGUAUCCCCCCAACCCUAC